GACGUAGGGCGCGAGCGUUGUCCGGAUUUAUUGGGCGUAAAGAGCUCGUAGGCGGCUUGUCGCGUCGUCCGUGAAAACUUGGGGCUCAACCCCAAGCCUGCGGUCGAUACGGGCAGGCUCGAGUUCGGUAGGGGAGACUGGAAUUCCUGGUGUAGCGGUGAAAUGCGCAGAUAUCAGGAGGAACACCGGUGGCGAAGGCGGGUCUCUGGGCCGAUACUGACGCUGAGGAGCGAAAGCGUGGGGAGCAAACAGG
rnacentral:rRNA from 1 species